AAAUGCGGAAGAGAUAAGUGCUGAAAGCAUCUAAGCACGAAACUUGCCCCGAGAUGAGUUCUCCCUGACUCCUUGAGAGUCCUGAAGGAACGUUGAAGACGACGACGUUGAUAGGCCGGGUGUGUAAGCGCAGCGAUGCGUUGAGCUAACCGGUACUAAUGAACCGUGAGGCUUAACCUU
rnacentral:rRNA from 2 species